UAGUUCCUUCAGGGCAGGGUGAGAGAAAUCAAUUCCCGACCGGUGGUAACAUCUCUUCAAAAGGAAGAGUGGAGUCCACGAGCCGAAAGGCAGAACCGGUGAGAAGCCGGUACCGACGGUAUAGUCCGGAUGGAAGAAGGAACGA
rnacentral:ncRNA from 2 species